GCCCGUUUGGCUUAGUGGUACAGCGUCUCACUCGUACGAGCACUAUGACAUGAGAAGAUCCUCGGUUCGAUUCCGAGAAUGGGCA
rnacentral:tRNA from 2 species